UCUGCCCCUUGAGGUGUUGCAGUCCGACUGUGUGUGUCGAGCCUGUGUCGUGAGGGGCAGAGAGUUACCGGGUUAUGUCUACGCUGAGGACCCAGAACAGUGGGUACUUGGAGUGAUCACAGCUCCAACAGA
ensembl:snoRNA